GAUGAACGCUGACAGAAUGCUUAACACAUGCAAGUCUACUUGAACUUCGGUUUGGGUGGCGGACGGGUGAGUAACGCGUAAAGAACUUGCCUCACAGUUAGGGACAACAUUUGGAAACGAAUGCUAAUACCUGAUAUUAUGAUUUUAGGGCAUCCUAAAAUUAUGAAAGCUAUAUGCGCUGUGAGAGAGCUUUGCGUCCCAUUAGCUAGUUGGAGAGGUAACGGCUCACCAAGGCGAUGAUGGGUAGCCGGCCUGAGAGGGUGAACGGCCACAAGGGGACUGAGACACGGCCCUUACUCCUACGGGAGGCAGCAGUGGGGAAUAUUGGACAAUGGACCAAAAGUCUGAUCCAGCAAUUCUGUGUGCACGAUGACGUUUUUCGGAAUGUAAAGUGCUUUCAGUUGGGAAGAAAAAAAUGACGGUACCAACAGAAGAAGUGACGGCUAAAUACGUG
rnacentral:rRNA from 1 species